CUUCUCUCCCUCUCUCACAUGUUUCUUUCACUCGUUUGUCUUUUCCUUCUCAUUUACAAGCUUCGGUUCGUUCUAGCAUCUCCAUAGGGUCUGCGCCUAUCCAUCUUCGACAAGUUUCUUCUUCAUCUCCAUCAGCAUCCUCGUCUUCAUCUCCACUGUCAUGCUCGUCUCCUACGUUUGCAUUCGCAUCAAAUACACCCACUUUCGCCCCGCAUUUGCCCUAGACCCUUUGUCUCUCUCCCCUCUCCUACCGCUGAUAAUGUGGUGGUUCUCAUGGUUGGAUUGGACGACUCCAACAUCGAAUUGUACCCUAAAAUGGUCUUCAGAAAGAGUUGUCAUCUUUUCGCUUCUGACCACGACCAUUGCUUCAUUUUCCUUUCCGAUUACAAGCCCUAUGGUUCGCUCUGUUACAUUCCCAAUUGUCACCAUUGUUUGGACUCUGAUUACAUCGAUGGAUGGCUUCUCAUAUGAGCGCUACUUGCCCCUUGUGCCGAAAUUCCCCUGUUCCAACCCUUGUUGCUACUCCUCUUUUUAAGUUUGUGCCUCUAGCUUCCAAAGCUAAGUAAUCUUCUUCUUCCCCUUCACUAUAUUUUUAGGGUCAAAGUUUACGAUUUUUCUCUGUGAAUUUGUGUUUGUGUUUACAUUGGGCUAUUAGUUUCUAGUAGAUAAUGGGAACUUCUUGGAUUAUCUCUGGUAUCUGUGUCUGUGUUUAGUCAUGUAAAGUUGGAAAAGUUUAUAAUUAAUCUUGACUCAUAUGCUUAAUUUUGUGUCUAAUAAAUUAAUAUCAUCAGUUUUUUAACACUUACCUCUCAUAAAAGGGUAUAAUUGAAGAGCAUGUACUUGAAUUUUUGUUAUAAUCUUUCUUUAGCGACGUGUCAAGUGAGUUUUAUCGGAGAUUGGAUGUAGUUUAGGUGGAUGAGAGAAGUGGUGGGAGGUAAACUUUCAUCACUUUCGACUUUGAGGUUUAAAAAUUGAUUUUCAUCAUUGCAUUCAAUGCUUUGUUUUCGCAGGCUAUGGGGCUACAAAAGCUAAUUCUAGCUUAAAUUAAUAUUUAAUUGUUGGAUGAAGAACUGGGGAAUUUUUCUUCUCUUGUUAUUAAAUGUUAGUCACAACAAACUUUCUAAGUUACCAGCUGUAAUUGGAGAGACAGUUUUGGUUUAUUAUUUUUCCUUUCUCAUUUCUUAAACAAAAUUUUAAGAUGGUUGCAUUUUGGUAAUAAUUAUGUUGUUAUUAAUUCACUUUUGCAGGCUUCUUGGAGAGUGAGUAAAUAUCUGUGAUGUUUUCUAGAAUGUCCUGCGAGUACUUUCAAGAAUAUCAGUGGACCUGAUAGAGCUCUUUGUCGACAAUGCACCCAUGAUGAGCUUCAAUAUCGUGCCAUUUAUGUAUGUAUUCGAGCAUUGGUGCUUAGUGUUACAUGGAUGAAAUUUGUCGGGGUGGAUGACCUACCUGGCUCUGUGCCCACUCAAGAUGGAUCUCAAAUUGAUCAUUCCUUUCCUUUCAUUUCCUAAAGUCAUUAAAUGAGGUCUUGGAAACAAAUAAAGUUGAGGAGUCUUAAAGUCAUGUAUAUGGAAUAUACUUUACAAGUCCAAACACCUUUAGUGAACCCUAACAUCUUUAACACUCGCCUUUAGAACAACUAAAAGAAACUAUGUAAGUAACAAGGAUUUAUUGCUUUAAUGCAUUUCGUUGAUGUCAACAUAUCUACUUUAUAUUACUUUGUGUUUAGCUACGACUACCUAUGAGAAAUGACUGCUUAUCUAAAACUUGUCUAUAAGCAUGUGUUUGUUCCUAGAUUAACACUUGAGUUACUCUAUUUUGAUAUUCAGAUAUGAGAGUACAUUUAA